UACGGAGGGGGCUAGCGUUGUUCGGAAUUACUGGGCGUAAAGCGCACGUAGGCGGAUCAGUCAGUUAGGGGUGAAAGCCCAGGGCUCAACCCUGGAACUGCCUUUAAUACUGCUGGUCUGGAGGUCGAGAGAGGUGAGUGGAAUUCCGAGUGUAGAGGUGAAAUUCGUAGAUAUUCGGAGGAACACCAGUGGCGAAGGCGGCUCACUGGCUCGAUACUAACGCUGAGGUGCGAAAGCGUGGGGAGCAAACAGG
rnacentral:rRNA from 1 species